UUUUUUAAUUGAAAACUUGUAUGAAAGAUUGAAUGAAAUAAAAGCUGUUUCAUAAGAAUUUAUUUAAAAUUUUAUUUUUUAGUAAAAAAGCUAAAAUUUAUUUAUUAGACGAGAAGACCCUAUAAAGUUUAAUAGUUUAAAAUAAUUAAUUAGUUAGAAAUUUUAAAUUAUUUAUAAAAAAAUUAUUUUAUUGGGGUGAUAGUAAAAUUUAAAUAACUUUUAUUUUUAAAUACAUAAAUUAUUGAUUAAAAGAUCUUAUAUUAUUGAUUGAAAAUUUAAAUUACUUUAGGGAUAACAGCGUAAUUUUUUUUUUAAGUUCAUAUUUAUAAAAAAUUUUGC
rnacentral:rRNA from 1 species